UACGUAGGGUCCAAGCGUUGUCCGGAAUUAUUGGGCGUAAAGAGCUCGUAGGCGGUGUGUCGCGUCGGAUGUGAAAGCCCGGGGCUUAACUUCGGGUCUGCAUUCGGUACGGGCAUGCUGGAGUUCGGUAGGGGAGACUGGAAUUCCUGGUGUAGCGGUGAAAUGCGCAGAUAUCAGGAGGAACACCGGUGGCGAAGGCGGGUCUCUGGGCCGAUACUGACGCUGAGGAGCGAAAGCGUGGGGAGCAAACAGG
rnacentral:rRNA from 1 species